rnacentral:snRNA from 1 species
GUGCUGGCUUCGGCAGCACAUAUACUAAAAUUGGAAUGAUACAGAGAAGAUUAGCAUGGCCCCUGCACAAGGAUGACACACAAAUUCGUGAAGCAUUCCCUAUUUUU